UGCAUUUGGGCCACACAAUGAACGACUAUCUCUGAGAGGAAGAAUAUAAAUCAACAUGAGAGAAGCGAGAGGAAAAAUUGGCCUGCGGUUUCAUCAUAGUUGCGAAUUUAUGGCCAUGCAGAACUCUUAACAAAUGGACUCUGAAAGAAAAUAUUAAAGGGCACAUAUUUUAGCCCUUUUUUGAGAUUUAAUAGUAAUAUUAUGGUUCUUCUGAGUGUGCUAAUGUAGGUUCAGAUUAAAACGCAAUUCAGAUAUUGUUAUUAUGCUGUGUUAAAAAGUGUAAAUUUAGAGGCGUGUACACAGGUUGCUGUUUUGGGGUGUGUUGUUUAACAUGAUAAUGAGUUUUGACUGCCCGCCCAACGUAACAAGGGGGCGGAGCCAAGAGCGCGUCUGCUUUGUGCACCGCGUCACAGAGGCAGACAGUAAGAGUCAUCAUGAGUGAGAGGAACACAAUUCAACCCUACAUAUUUGACACAGACUCGGACACAGAUCAAGCAGAGUCGACUGUUGAGGAAUCUAUAAUCCGAAUGUGCCAGAAUGUGUCAGAGUGGUACAUACAAAAUAUUUUAUGUCGUUGUAUACUUUUUCAGCCGCUAUGUAACUAUGCAUGCGCCAUCCGUAAUUUGUUUGAUAAAGUUCGCGAACGUCAUGCGUUACGUCAAACAGACAAUACAUAAAGAUAUCUACAAAGAUAAAUUUUGCAUUGGUAUGAUUUAUUCGUAAUUCAUGAAUAUUGACGUUGACAAAUAUUGGCAGGUGCUCAUGUGGCAAUUGUGAAAAAAUGCCAACUGAGGCUGAAAAUGUAUGCUGCUGGGAGAUACCGCAGGUAAAUUUCCAGUUUACGUUGCUGCUCUAAAGACAUCGAAUGAGAUAAUAAACAGCAUAACUGUGUCGUGUAAUAAGGUUAGAAGACGAAUGGAUCAACUAGAAUUGCAACCCUCGUGCAUGACGGAGCAUCCAGGAAUGGAUCCCGUUUGCUUCAAUAUUUAUUCCUUGCAAAAUGCAUCGAAUAUAUACAAAGCAGACUAUGGUCCCCUGCGACUUCGUGGAGUGCAAAAACAGUGCCGCUUUUUGGCUUAUCGGAGCUUUGCGAGCUGGUGUUGGGGUUUCCUCGGGCGGAGAGUCCGUGUUGUGAUUCCUGCCUGUGUGGUGCUGAAGAUUCGGAGACAGUUUCCUGAAGAGCAGGGCAGCUAUGUGGGUUUUAGGAUAGCUAUUGAUUGAAGCGGGUCACCCUGCUGGAGAUAGCCUCCUCCAUCUCAGGUAGAUCGCAGGCUGAUGAUAGAGCAGGUGGUAUGUGAAUUCCCAACACUUCAUCAACAUAGGGUGAUGGGUCCACAAACACUUGGUUGAAGAUGAGGUCCAGCAGCUCUUUUACAUAACCUGUGCAAUAUAACAGUUAUCUCUUUAGUAACUUAAUUUUGUAUUUUGGAGUAGUGAGUUGUCAUUGUGAAUGUAAAGUGCAAUUAUUUUUUUUAUUUAUUGAAUUAUUAAAAAUACUAUAAACAUUUAUAUACAUA